rnacentral:rRNA from 1 species
GACGAACGCUGGCGGCGUGCCUAAUACAUGCAAGUCGAACGAGAGCGACCGGUGCUUGCACUGGUCAAUCUAGUGGCGAACGGGUGAGUAACACGUGGGGAACCUGCCCAUCAGAGGGGGAUAACAUCCGGAAACGGAUGCUAAAACCGCAUAGGUCUUCGAGCCGCAUGGCUUGAAGAGGAAAAGAGGCGCAAGCUUCUGCUGAUGGUUGGGCCCGCGGUGCAUUAGCUAGUUGGUGAGGUAACGGCUCACCAAGGCCGUGAUGCAUAGCCGACCUGAGAGGGUGAUCGGCCACAUUGGGACUGAGACACGGCCCAGACUCCUACGGGAGGCAGCAGUAGGGAAUCUUCCGCAAUGGACGCAAGUCUGACGGAGCAACGCCGCGUGAGUGAAGAAGGUUUUCGGAUCGUAAAACUCUGUUGUUAGAGAAGAACAAGUGCUGGAGUAACUGUUAGCGCCUUGACGGUAUCUAACCAGAAAGCCACGGCUAACUACGUG